rnacentral:hammerhead_ribozyme from 1 species
AUUCAGCUGAUGAAUCCCAAAUAGGACGAAAUGCGCUUUAUCCUGGAU